rnacentral:lncRNA from 1 species
UGGUUUUAGGUUCAAGAUGAGAGACAAAAGCAAAAUGAUUGAAUGCAUCUUUAAGUGAAGAGCGAGUUCUUACACCAUGUGUAGGAUCACCAAUGAUUAGUUCCUUGGGAUGAUUGUGAUCAUACCUCCAUUCUUUGGGUAGAUCAUUUGUACCUACAGAUUGUUCUUCACCUUCCUCAUCCUGUUUGUCUUCAUAUUCUUCAUCAUCUUGAAUGGUUGAGUCUUUUAGAGUGAUCUCCUUUAUUCCUUCUAUAAGAAUAUCUGCAUC